GCCCCAGUAGCUUAGUGGCUAUAGCGUUGCCUUGGUAAGGCAAAGAUCAUGGGUUCAACUCCCAUCUGGGGCU
rnacentral:tRNA from 1 species